UCAGUUGAGGAGAUUAUAGAGGUACCUGAAGAGAGCGGUACCUCAGGAGCUGAGGAGAGGAUUUUACCUCAUGUGAGAGACGGAGUUCGUGCUCUCAGGAGAGGAAACAGGUCCUGUAUGUAAGGAGACAGGACACUUGCAGCUUGAGGCAGCGGGACAAGGAGCAGCAGUAUAGGCAGCAGUACUGACAAGUAUCAGUGACAGCCAGAAAAGUGCUCAGAGGACAAGGGUGUGGAGAGGCAUCAGCGUUCAGGUGCCUGCAUUUCCCUUCUAGAGGAGGCUGUACAGCUUUGAAAACAGAUUUCUUCCAGAAACUUUGCAAAGCUUGCUCUUUGAAGCCCCCAUAUAAACGUUAUAACUUUGAGGCUGUUGGUGAUAGCAUUGCAAACGACGAGAUGCAGGCACAUACUAACAAACUUUAAUAAUUUUCAUCAAAGACUCCCCAAAGACAAGUUUUGCUCCUGUAAUCUCAUUGGUACACAAAGAAUUCAGCUCUAAAGACUGGAGAGGACCUAUUAUAUAGUACUACUAAUAAACAAUUAAAAAAUGGUAAAUAAUUAUUUAUUAUGAAAAGCUGAAUGUUUUUGCCAUUGUAGAAGCUUUUACGAUUUGUCUUCAUUUAUUUACACUCUACACAAAAUAGGAUUGUUCCUGUAUCAACAGAAAUGGUUUCUUCCCCCUCUUGCUUCUGCAAAAUCUACAAGUGGCAAAUCAUUAUGCAAUUUUUCUGAAUAAUUUCACUUAUCUACUGUAUGCCAGGAUUAUGGCAAUCAUUAAGUUGACAAUAAAAUCUGUUCACGUCAAAUAAAUGAAUCCUAAACAUCUAUACAGGAAAGUUUUCUUCCAUCCAUGUUGGUUCAUGGCAAUUAACAUUUUCUUACCUCAAUAAAAUGCUGUAUUAGCACUGAGGUAUUAUAGCGACACACAGUUGGAGGGAUUUUCUAUGCAAAUUAAAAAAAAAUAUUUUAAACUAUUGCAAAGAUUACCCUAUAUGAUGACCGUGUGAAAGUCAGAUGGGUUAGCGACAAUAGACAAUUUUCAUAGAGCUAAUACUUUUUUAUUUUUUAUUUGAUACUUUAAUUAAGAUAGAUCCUGCAUCUGAUGUCAUCUGUGGAAGAGUCCGGAUGGCGAUAAUACUCUCCAUAGGACAGCAAUAGCAGUAGUUACAGGUUACAAGAUCAUGUACUGUGUACAGCAGCAAGAUUUAUAAAAUUAUAACCAUGUAUAAACACAAAUGUCUAAUAAAUAAAUAUUUAAAUAUAUUCUAUUAUUCUAUUUCCACAACAAAAGCAAGUCACUGUCUACUUAUUAUAAUAUAUAU